rnacentral:rRNA from 1 species
CGUCACCGGAUAAGACAGCUGGAUGAUAGCCGGCUGAAGACUCUGCUUGACUAGCUGAGGAGGAGGUUGCAUUGGCCGUCGUCAGUUCGUACUGUGAAGCAUCCCGUUAAGUCAGGCAACGAGCGAGACCCACGCCAACAGUUGCCAGCAUGUCCUCCGGGAUGGUGGGGACACUGUUGGGACCGCCUCUGCUAAAGAGGAGGAAGGAAUGGGCAACGGUAGGUCAGCAUGCCCCGAAUUAUCCGGGCUACACGCGGGCUACAAUGGUCAGGACAAUGGGCAUCAACACCGAAAGGUGAAGGCAAUCUCUUAAACCUGUCCUUAGUUCGGAUUGUGGGCUGCAACUCGCCCACAUGAAGCUGGAAUCUGUAGUAAUCGCGUCUCAAAAUGGCGCGGUGAAUAUGUCCCUGCUCCUU